rnacentral:rRNA from 1 species
GCAGUAGCCGCGGUAAUACGAAGGGGGCUAGCGUUGCUCGGAAUUACUGGGCGUAAAGGGCGCGUAGGCGGCCAUUCAAGUUAGAUGUGAAAGCCCUGGGCUCAACCUAGGAAUUGCAUUUGAUACUGGUUGGCUUGAGUUCGGAAGAGGGUUGUGGAAUUCCCAGUGUAGAGGUGAAAUUCGUAGAUAUUGGGAAGAACACCGGUGGCGAAGGCGGCAACCUGGUCCGAUACUGACGCUGAGGCGCGAAAGCGUGGGGAGCAAACAGGAUUAGAUACCCCAGUAGUCCCUGUCUCUUAUAC